AAAUAUUCUUCUUUUCUAUUUUCUCUUAUCCUUUUCUUUCUGUCCCGAAGAAGAAGGCUCUUCCCUCAUUCCCCACAAAACUGUUUUUUUUCAUUUAGGAAGGAGACGUGGAUCUAUUGAGCUCUAUCCUCUUCCGAUCGCACAAAAAGGGGUUGGUUCAACAGCGCCAGAUCCAUCAGAGUUCCAGGCACUUGAUGAUGAUGUUGUUGUGCCACUUGGGAAGCCGAAGAAGCACCAAGACGGAAAGGUACCAUGGUCCAUUUUAAGCAUUUUGAUUUUGUUAAUAUUAAUUCCCAAUAAAUUGGUGAAAUAAUACGAAAACUUGAUAUGUUUGGGUGCAUAAUUUUUUUUGAGUAACCUCUGUUCAUCUUUAUUAAUAUUACAAUACAUGGUAGCUGCUGCACAAGGGUGUCUUAUUUACAAUGUGUAUCAAAUUCGUAUGCGGUAUCUCAUUCAUGUUAACUUUAACUAUAAACGAUGAUGUGCAUAAGAGUUAGCAGUCUAUCCAAACCUCAUCUGUAAAGUAACCUCUAAUUUCUCAUGGUGGUGAAUUUAGUAGUCUUUUAGUGUGGUAGUUCCUUCAUUCCUCCCAGAUAUCGAUGUAAAGUAUUAGUAUUUAGAGGAUCUCGGGUCUUAAUUUUAGGCAGUAAAUAUAUCUCAACUUGAUAGUUUUAGUAGUGUGAUAAGUCAUAGCACUGCAUGUUUGAUACUACCUCGGUCCUAGAUGCUGAAACUUAUAUUUUAACUUCUUGAUCUCCCCUGGAUCUAUUUUGGUCUUUGUAGAAUAGAGAAGAAGUGGGGGUAGGUAUUUUGCUAACAUAGUGGAAUCAAAAGGUAGUAUGUGGGUUGGGGUAGUUGUCUAGUGGGUUUUUGGCAGGUAUGGAGGUGUAAAUAAAGUGUAAACUUCAUUGUUUACUGGUGUGGGACGACAAUCAAUGAGAGAACUCUAUUUUUCAAUACUCUCAUCAGAGUUGUCCACAUCAGAUGUUGGUGGGGCUUGAAUGAAGGAGGAUUGAGUAUUUGGUUUCAAAUAUGAUAUUUGAAAACAAAUACGAUCUCCUUCAUUCGGGCCUCAUAAAAAGCUGAUCUGGACUGGACAGCUCUGAUGAGAGUAUUGGAAAAUAGAGCUCUCUCAUUGAUUCUCGCCCCACGUAACAGUUACACCUCCAACUUAUCUCUUUUCCAACAAAAUUAACCCCACUUCUCACUUUACAGAGAUGAUAAUCAAAACUAAUCCCCCAUUUUUGUCCCAUACAAAUAAGAAACCUCUGAUCAAAACUAAUCCCACUACUUCUCUCCGGUUUUCCCUUCUUCCUAAUUUCUUUCUUAGAAAUUGUCUUUAGCAGGGAUCUUUCCAUUUGAAAUGGUGUCAAAUCUCGAUUCUUCCUUUUUCUUUGUUUUAAUGAUUCUGUCAUGUUUUGGGGUUGGAUAUAGGGUUUUGGUGAUUUUGGUUGGUUUGCUGGAAGACGAGUUCUGCACUUCCCGCAUGAACUUUACACCCUUUUAACUGUGUCUACUUUCCUUAUCUAUGAAUUGAACUAGCCUAAACUCAUCUUUGUUAUAUGAGCAUUGAUAAGUAGAACUAGUACACAAUGAUAAGACUGCAAUAUAAACUGCAGAGUGAUAGCAGUAGCACUGCAUGUUUGAUAAUACCUCGAUCCUCUGAAAAUGAUACUAUAACUUUUUAAUUUUUGCCUAAAAAAGGUGAAAGUUUCCAUUUUCUUUGGAUGGAGGGAGUAUAAAACUGCAAUGUUAGUCUACCCGUAGAUGUUCAUUUUUGGUCUUAGAUAUGGGAUCCAACAAUCCCUUUGUUAAACUGAUCCAGGCCUGACCGAAUCUUGAGCAUUGGUAUCACCAGUUCAUAACAUGGUACCUAAACUGAGCAUGAUGGGAACCAAACGUGAUGUUUGAAUAAAAAAUGGAUUUGGACAGGCUAAUGGGAUAUAGGUGACGAUUUUCCUCUUUGUAAAUGCGAACCGCACUUGUUGUCCACAAAUUCCAAGUUUGCAAUUCUUCAAACUUAGGCCAAACAUAACUUUCUGUUUACGUGCUGGGCUGGGAUUCUAUUACUAAGUAACUCUUAUGGUUUUCCUGUUCAGAUUUCAACUGAUAUUAUUUUGGUUUCAAAAUAAAUUUAUAGAGAAAGAAAAUGGUCUUCUGUUGCAAUAUCUUAGCUAAACCAUGUUGACUAACCAUUAAUGGGUCAAAUGAUAAGGCCGACCUAAAAUGUAUAAUAAAAAACUAUUCCAGAUUCUUUUUUCUGCCUUUAAACAGGAUUACGCAUUGUUCUUUCAGAAGCUCCGUCGUCAGGUCACAUGUAAAGGGGUUUAUUUUGCUGAUAUGUUCUCAAAGAGUGCAAAAUUAUUGCUCUUCGUCUUCUGGGGAAAGGGUGCUUCUUUUAUGCAAGGUUGUUUUCAUACUUAUAUAUACCUAAUUAGUAAUACUCGGUAUGUGGUGGGAACGAAAUUACCGCAAAACGUCUAACAUAUUGUAGGGCCAAAUUUUGCUGCGGUACAUCUCUGAUAACAGCAUAACUCAAUUGAGUGUUUGAUGUACCAUAAGUUAACAUAUUUUCUGAGCCUUAAACUCAUUGGUUAUAGCUCAUUCACUGGCCUAAUUUAGAAGGGUCGGGUUGGAGAUUUAUUAUUCUACAUUUAUUUGUACAAGCAUGGUAUUCAAAUACACCCUGGCGACCUAUGCUUCCUUGAAUGACAUAUUCACGCUUUGUGCCGAAAGGCUCGAGAACGUAAGCAUUUUCUAACUUCUUCGUUGGCGGGUUGCACGGGGUGAGAUGGCUGAGCUACUACAUUCAGAUUAUAACUCUGGUCAGUUGCCAGAGGUGAAGCCAAGGUUCGUUCCCUUAUUCUUUCAUGCAUACAAGUCACAUAUCAUGCUUUCUGGGUUAACAAGUUUUACACUAUCACAUGGCAAAAACUUAGAUUAUGCCUUCUGGGUUAACAAGUGUAACAAGUUUUAUUUGUUUUCAAGAAAAAGUAUGCAUCCUCCUUUGACCGCAACUGCUUCCCAGUUCUAUUCCUCUGGCUCUUUUUACUUGUGAAUCACUAAUUCCUCUUGCCCAUCAAAACUGCUCUUAUUUUUCGUUUCAACUGCUUCUGAAUCAUGACACAUUUGGUUACAUCUAUCUUCUCUUUAAGGGUAUUCAGUUUCUAAUAUCUAGGAUUUACAGUAUGUUUUGCAGUUUUACUAGUGAAGUAAUAAAGAUGGGUAAAUAACAAUUUUUAUCUUUUUUCAUGUUUUUAUGUUUUUUAUUUGUUUUCAAGAAAAAGUACGCAUCCUCCUUGCACCCCAUGUGCGCAGAGGUAUUUAACUUCACUUGUGCACUUGUGCAUCUUACCUUCAAUUCUAUGCCUGAUUUUUCCCGCAAUAAUUUAUGUUUUCCUCCUUUAGCAUUCUAUCUGAAAGCAAAAACAGUUCCUGAACUUUUGUAAUCCAUUAUGGUCCUGGAAAUCUGAGGUUAGUUAUUUUGCUCUAAAAGGAAAAAAAUUUUGGUGAAAAGGUGAUGAUCAUGAUACUAACAUGCUUUUGUGCAGAUAAUCGAAGAAUUCCAAAAAUGUCACGUAGAACAUCCUUGUGCAAAAUUCUUUGGUGAGUGUACAGAUCUGAAGAUUAAACUCGGCCGUUGUUUCCGUCUAGAAAAAGCUGUGAAGCGAAAAGCAAAUUUUGAAGAGAGUAAAAAGUUGAAGGAUAGUAUGAGUAUAUUCUCACUCAUUGUCUGCCCAUCUCUAUUCUAUGGGUGUGUCUAACUUUCUGUUAACUUCUGUUAGACUCCGUACUGUUCCUUACUUUCCGUUAGUAUAAUUGUCUGUGACAGUCUGUCUUUGUAUGCCUGCUUAUAUAAAGGCAUGUACUCUCUUGUUUUCUUAGUACUGUAAAAUACAAUCAUUCUCCUC